UUCUUCCUGACAGAGUGUCAUCAGCCGCGAACGCUCUGAUUAAUGAGCCUCAGCUCUGCUCUCGUGCCCCAGCAUUUCCUAUUAAUCCAUUUAAUUCGCCUUUGAAAUUCAAAACAUGUUUUCCUAACAUUCCUGUCUUAUUCACUGUCGGCCUCGAUGAAAUGCGGGCUGCAUUCAUAAAGCAGGCGUUCAUGGUGUUGCCCUGGCAAUUGCAUCAAUUAAACGUUGUUGCUUUGUUUUUGUAAAUGGCUCCAAGGAUUGACUGUGACACUGAGGACAUUCAGUCAGGUUUCAUGUUUCUAACAAAACACGGCUGCUUUUUUUUUGCUUCUAAUUAAGACAAAUUGCCCAGAACAAGGUUGUUGUUCACCUUUUCCCCGGAGUGUGCCAGUUUCACGGACACAGCCCUUUUUUUUUUUUUUUUUUUGCUCCUGAAUGAUUGUAGAAAUUCAGGAAAACUCAAGACGCCGCCUGGCUUUCUGCUCGUGGCGUGCUUCAUUUUUGUUUGAAAAGCCCAGAAAACACGGCCCUUUUUUUGUUCUUUGCCUGUCAAAAAGCCUUUUGUCUUGUGUGUUGAACAAAGGACAGCAGUUGCUUUUGUUUAGCAGUGAGUGUUUGUCUUCUCAUUAUCUGUGCUGUGGCACAAAAAGACUGCAGAGGGACAGUAUAGCAGCCUGCUAAGACGUCUGUUUUGCUUUUGAAUUGAUGUCUCCUCUUCUCCAGGCUAUGAUGAGGGAUGGCUGAGCAGAUAAAAAAACACCAGAGACCCAGAAGAGAACUCAUCAUUUGAAGUUUUUAAAUAGAGAAGAGGAUGCUAAACUCAUGGGUUGGAUUACCCUACCACAGUCCAUCAGCUGUGAUCAUUGAGAGAAUCAAGUCCUGCUACAAGAACUAUGUAGCUACAGUGGACAAAGUCUGGGUUUCCCUGUCCCGGUCCCCAGCCCGGAUAAAAUAAAGGGCUGCUUUAAGGAGGGGCAUAAAACUCUCUCUGAAGGUGCGCUGAAAGAUGAA